UCCUUAGUGGCCUAGCAGGUUAAGGAUCCAGCAUUGUCAUUGCUGUGGCAUGGGUUCAAUCCCUGGCUCAGGAA
rnacentral:tRNA from 1 species